rnacentral:lncRNA from 1 species
UUUUUUUUUUUAUAAAUACCUUCUUUUUUUUUGACUUUCAAAAAUCUAUAUUUUGCCCUCUUAAAAUUCUAAAAAUAUGCUCACCGUCCUUACUGCAAGUGGUAAAAGACUUAGUAGUUUUUUAAUAUAUUUUCAUCAUUUUGAAAGUUAUUUUUCUUAUAAAAUUAUAAAAAAUAAGCGGAAUAGUGAUGGAACUUGACUGAGGAGGGGGCCAAAUGCAAUAACUUGGAAUGGUGAGGGGAUAAAAUAUAGAUUUUUGAAAGUUAGCGAGGAAAAGUAAAUAAAGGGUUUUUUUUUUUGUAAUUUAACAUUAAAUUUUAAAGCUUUAUAAAACUGCAUGCUAACGUUAAAGGAGUAACUUCAAUUAAAUAAAACUUCCUUUUGAAC